AUUGAACGCUUGCGGCAUGCCUUACACAUGCAAGUCGAACGGUAACGCGGGGCAACCUGGCGACGAGUGGCGAACGGGUGAGUAAUGCAUCGGAACGUGCCCAGUAGUGGGGGAUAGCCCGGCGAAAGCCGGAUUAAUACCGCAUACGACCUACGGGUGAAAGCGGGGGACCGUAAGGCCUCGCGCUAUUGGAGCGGCCGAUGUCAGAUUAGGUUGUUGGUGGGGUAAAAGCCUACCAAGCCGACGAUCUGUAGCUGGUCUGAGAGGACGGCCAGCCACACUGGGACUGAGACACGGCCCAGACUCCUACGGGAGGCAGCAGUGGGGAAUUUUGGACAAUGGGGGCAACCCUGAUCCAGCCAUGCCGCGUGCGGGAAGAAGGCCUUCGGGUUGUAAACCGCUUUUGUCAGGGAAGAAACGCUCUGGGCUAAUACCCCGGGAUAAUGACGGUACCUGAAGAAUAAGCACCGGCUAACUACGUGCCAGCCGCCGCGGUAACAC
rnacentral:rRNA from 1 species